rnacentral:lncRNA from 1 species
UAGCGACUAGAUGCUAGGGCUCUAGAGCUAGUCCUUCUCCUUUUGUGUUGUAUGUUGCAUGGCAUGUCGUGUACUUUGGAUCUGAGCUAUGUAAGACCUUACGAGUUAUGUUGAAAGUCCAGUGUAUGUAUGCUGGCAAAUUGGAUGUACGCGAACCUUGUUGCGUGAAUGUUAAGUAAUCUGUUAGUGAUGUUGUGCGUGGA